GACCCGCUAGCUCAGUUGGUAGAGCAUCUGACUUUUAAUCAGGUGGUCGUAGGUUCAAGUCCUACGCGGGUCA
rnacentral:tRNA from 1 species